rnacentral:rRNA from 1 species
CAAUUCGACGCAACGCGAAGAACCUUACCUGGGCCCGAAAUGCAGGAGACCGGGGUAGAAAUAUCCUUUUCUCGCAAGAGACUGCUGUAUAGGUGCUGCAUGGCUGUCGUCAGCUCGUGUCGUGAGAUGUUGGGUUAAGUCCCGCAACGAGCGCAACCCUCAUCCCUAGUUGCCACCGGGUAAUGCCGAGCACUCUAGUGAAACCGCCCCGGAUAACGGGGAGGAAGGUGGGGAUGGCGUCAAGUCCUCAUGGCCUUUAUGUCAGGGCUACACACGUGCUACAAUGGUCGGUACAAACCGUCGCAAAGCUGCAAAGCCCAGCUAAUCGGAAAAAACCGGCCUCAGUUCGGAUUGGAGUCUGCAACUCGACUCCAUGAAGCUGGAAUCGCUAGUAAUCGCAGAUCAGAACGCUGCGGUGAAUACGUUCCCGGGCCUUGU